rnacentral:lncRNA from 1 species
GGCCAAAGCAUGAAGUGAAGAGGAAAGGAAAGAACACAAACCCUAGGUGGGAAAAUUGAAGAAAAAGUGUGGGAUUUCAAGAGAUUAAGCUAAUAAAGGUAAAAUUUUAUGAUUUUAUCUUGUGAUUUACAGUACCCAUGCUUUCUUUUUCAUUUUCAAUGCUUAAAACUCAAGUUUGCAUGAUGAACCCAUGUUGGCCAAAUUUGAGAGGAGAGGUUUUAAGCAUUGAUUUUGCUAGAUUUCAAGCUAAUUAAGUGUUUUUUGUUGUUUGGUAAUGGAAAGUAUGAAAAUCUAUCAAGGAAUCACUUUAUUCUUCACAAACCCACAAGAGGCCGAAUUUUCUAGGGAGGAUAUUGAGGCUGAAAUUGAUGAUAUUUCAUGAUAUUUUGGUGGUAUUUAAUGAUUGGUGAGGCUAGAAAUUUAAUGGGAAAUUUUAGCAUGAAAACCUGAAUUUUUACCUAAUGUAUAGACAUGUGCGAUUUAUCGUUUGAACUGAUAAAUUGAAUCAUAUUUACAGUCAUUGAGGUAUUUUAAGUAUAAUUAGAGUGUAGAAAGUGAAAGAAAUCGAUUUGGAGUUAAAUCGGAGGUUUUAGCCAAUUACACUGAGAAUAGUGCGAAUUAGGUUGAAUAUUGUAUUUAAACGGCUAUUCGGACAUUUUGCAUCACAUUUCAUGCAUUCAUAUAGAUUUAUAGAGCCUAAAAUAGUUUAUGAUAAAUUGACACAAUUUAUUGAAAUUCGUGUCACGUAUGAUGUAUAGGUGGUGAGCCCUCUAACAAGGGUAAAGAGAUUAUGCCUGAAGAUUGGGAAUAGGAGUAUAUCGAACUCCUAGUACUGUGAGUAACUUUACUAUCAUCUUAAUUAUCUAAAAUGGUUUUUAUCCGAUUUUGUGAUUUUAUGAAAAAUGAGUUAAAUGGUAAAUCUUUGUGUUUUGUUAUUAAAAUGUGAUUUAAUGAAAUGAUUUUAUAACAUUGUCUUGAAAUGAAAUGAAGGUUUGAAAAUAGAGUAAUUGGAGAUUGUUUUCAUGUGUUGUAAAUUCAUGGUUUGAAUCGAAUGAUUUAUGACAAUAUUUGCAUGAAUGGCUGAAUUGGUAUUUGUGUUGAAAUAUAUAUGAACUGUGUAUUUAGCCUUGAAAGGCUGUGACUUACAAUAAUUGCCAUAUCAUGUUAUUGAAUUUUAUUGAUUGGUGGGAUAAUUAUUAGCUUACUGCAGUGAGCGGGUUCUGUGGACCAACCUAUUAGAGGGGCACGGUAACCCCGUUAUAUCUUACCUCAGUAUGAGAGGCGCGGGUGGAUAACUCCUAAGGCUGACAUUUUAGAGUUCACUUCACACCAAACCACCAAGUGAGGGUGAACUCGGCCAAUGCCAAGGAAUUGCUAUGUUUUCAAAAUAAAAACAUGAUUUAUGCGUACAUAACUUUUUAACAGUCUUGGUGGACUCUGUUUGGGAUAGCCCUCGGCCAAGGUAUCCUUGAUGACUGAGUAUGAUAAUGAUUUUGGCACAAGCCAAAGUUUUAAGAAAUUCAUAAGCCAUGUUAAUUACUUGAUUUAUAUGAAUUGAUUUUAUUUUGUUGAAACAAGUUGAAAGGUGAUGAAUUUCAGUAUGUUAAACUGUUUUAUCUAUCUCCACUUACUCGACUUUAGAUGGUUUAGAUGGUAUCUGUUUACUCACUGGGAUUUUAUAAUCUCACCACCCUCAUUUUCAACCAUUUCAAGCCCGAGGUAGCUUGUGGAUAGCAGAUAUCAUCAAGGAUUAUAGUCGGCUUUACUACUCUAAAAAUUGUAGGUUUACUGCCUUUGUGCACUUUUGUUCCUUGUGGGCCCAC